GAUGAAGAACGCAGCGAAAUGCGAUACGUAAUGUGAAUUGCAGAAUUCAGUGAAUCAUCGAGUCUUUGAACGCACAUUGCGCCCCCUGGUAUUCCGGGGGGCAUGCCUGUCCGAGCGUCAUUGCUGCCCUCAAGCACGGCUUGUGUGUUGGGCCUCCGCCCCCCGGCUCCCGGGGGGCGGGCCCGAAAGGCAGCGGCGGCACCGCGUCCGGUCCUCGAGCGUAUGGGGCUUCGUCACCCGCUCCGUAGGCCCGGCCGGCGCCCGCCGGCGACCCCCCUCAAUCAUUCCAGGUUGACCUCGGAUCAGGUAGGGAUACCCGCUGAACUUAAGCAUAUCAAUAAGCGGAGGA
rnacentral:misc_RNA from 1 species